rnacentral:miRNA from 1 species
UCACUGGGUAAAGUUUGUCCU